rnacentral:rRNA from 1 species
ACAUCCAGAGAACUUAGCAGAGAUGCUUUGGUGCCUUCGGGAACUCUGAGACAGGUGCUGCAUGGCUGUCGUCAGCUCGUGUUGUGAAAUGUUGGGUUAAGUCCCGNAACGAGCGCAACCCCUAUCCUUUGUUGCCAGCGAUUCGGUCGGGAACUCAAAGGAGACUGCCGGUGAUAAACCGGAGGAAGGUGGGGAUGACGUCAAGUCAUCAUGGCCCUUACGGGUAGGGCUACACACGUGCUACAAUGGCGCAUACAAAGAGAAGCGACCUCGCGAGAGCAAGCGGACCUCAUAAAGUGCGUCGUAGCCCGGAUUGGAGUCUGCAACUCGACUCCAUGAAGUCGGAAUCGCUAGUAAUCGUAGAUCAGAAUGCUACGGUGAAUACGUUCCCGGGCCUUGUACACACCGCCCGUCACACCAUGGGAGUGGGUUGCAAAAGAAGUAGAUAGCUUAACCUUCGGGAGGGCGUUUACCACUUUGUGAUUCAUGACUGGGGUGAAGUCGUAACAAGGUAAGCGUAGCGAG